AGAUUGAACGCUGGCGGCAUGCCUAACACAUGCAAGUCGAACGGGAGUAGCAAUACUCUAGUGGCGGACGGGUGAGGAAUACGUAGGAAUUUGCCCUUAAGUGGGGGAUAACCCGGGGAAACCCGGAUUAAUACCGCAUGACCUCGAAAGAGCAAAGUGGGGGAUCGCAAGACCUCACGCUUUUGGAGAAGCCUACGUCGGAUUAGCUAGUUGGUGAGGUAAUGGCUCACCAAGGCGACGAUCCGUAACUGGUCUGAGAGGAUGAUCAGUCACACCGGAACUGAGACACGGUCCGGACUCCGUACGGGAGGCCAGCGAGUGGGGAACUAGUUGGACAAGUGGGCGCAAGCCUGGACUCCGAGGCAAGUCGCCGACGUGUAGUGAAGAAGGUCCCGUUGGGUUAGUAAACGCGUAACGUUUAAGGUUAGGG
rnacentral:rRNA from 1 species